rnacentral:lncRNA from 1 species
UCAUCUGUCAUAUGUCAAAUUUACUUGACUUGAGUUUCUGAUGUGAAGUAUGUGAAAUUUUUUUUCCACCAUUCACUCUAUCCUAGCUAAGAUCUUCUGAACUCAAUCUUAUAAAUUACAUAGGAUCAUCUUCUUUAUUUAUCCAAAGAUAAUAGAUUCUAUCUUGAUGCACAUCUUAUUCCUACAAUGAAUCUACUACAGUCAAUAUGCAGGGCAGGGAUCCAUAUGGCUAG